rnacentral:rRNA from 1 species
AGAUGGAUUGGUGCCUUCGGGAACUGUGAGACAGGUGCUGCAUGGCUGUCGUCAGCUCGUGUUGUGAAAUGUUGGGUUAAGUCCCGCAACGAGCGCAACCCUUAUCCUUUGUUGCCAGCGGUUCGGCCGGGAACUCAAAGGAGACUGCCAGUGAUAAACUGGAGGAAGGUGGGGAUGACGUCAAGUCAUCAUGGCCCUUACGACCAGGGCUACACACGUGCUACAAUGGCAUAUACAAAGAGAAG